AAAUGAAUUGACGGGGGCUCACACAAGCGGUGGAGCAUGUGGAUUAAUUCGAAGCAACGCGAAGAACCUUACCUGGGUUUGACAUGCACGGAUGCCCUUCUGGAAACAGGAGUAAGCUGCCUUCGGGUGAAACGUGCACAGGUGCUGCAUGGCUGUCGUCAGCUCGUGCUGUGAAGUGUCGGGUUAAGUCCCUUAACGAGCGAAACCCCUGUCGCUAGUUGCCAGCGGGUCAUGCCGGGAACUCUAGCGAGACUGCCGGCGUUAAGCCGGAGGAAGGUGGGGACGACGUCAAGUCCUCAUGGCCCUUAUGCCCAGGGUUUCACACGUGCUACAAUGGGGCGUACAAAGCGACGCGAGACCGCGAGGUGGAGCAAAUCGCAAAAAGCGUCCCUCAGUUCAGAUUGGAGUCUGCAACCCGACUCCAUGAAGUUGGAAUCGCUAGUAAUCGCGUAUCAGCCAUGACGCGGUGAAUGUGUUCCUGAGCCUUGUACACACCGCCCGU
rnacentral:rRNA from 1 species